ACUCCUACGGGAGGCAGCAGUGGGGAAUAUUGGACAAUGGGCGAAAGCCUGAUCCAGCCAUGCCGCGUGUGUGAAGAAGGUCUUCGGAUUGUAAAGCACUUUAAGUUGGGAGGAAGGGCAGUUACCUAAUACGUGAUUGUUUUGACGUUACCGACAGAAUAAGCACCGGCUAACUCUGUGCCAGCAGCCGCGGUAAUACAGAGGGGUGCAAGCGUUAAUCGGAAUUACUGGGCGUAAAGCGCGCGUAGGUGGUUUGUUAAGUUGGAUGUGAAAUCCCCGGGGCUCAACCUGGGAACUGCAUUCAAAACUGACUGACUAGAGUAUGGUAGAGGGUGGUGGAAUUUCCUGUGUAGCGGUGAAAUGCGUAGAUAUAGGAAGGAACACCAGUGGCGAAGGCGACCACCUGGACUGAUACUGACACUGAGGUGCGAAAGCGUGGGGAGCAAACAGGA
rnacentral:rRNA from 1 species